rnacentral:lncRNA from 1 species
CACAUUCAUAUACAAAGUCAAAGGCAUCAAAGAUGGGGAAUGAUACUCCAAUAAGCUGCGGGAACACCAUGAAGCUAGAUUGAUGAUUUCUUAAUACUUUUGAUUUGAAAAUGUAAUAUAAGACUUUAUGAUUCUCAAUACUACUGAGUAGCGUCCCUCCAUGUUAGAAGGGGCAAAGCUAGUAUAGGCUUUUAGUCAAAAAUGAGAAAAUAGGGAGUCAG